GAUGAACGCUGGCGGCGUGCCUAAUACAUGCAAGUCGAGCGAACAGAUGAGGAGCUUGCUCCUCUGACGUUAGCGGCGGACGGGUGAGUAACACGUGGAUAACCUACCUAUAAGACUGGGAUAACUUCGGGAAACCGGAGCUAAUACCGGAUAAUAUAUUGAACCGCAGGGUUCAAUAGUGAAAGACGGUUUUGCUGUCACUUAGAGAUGGAUCCGCGCCGCAUUAGCUAGUUGGUAAGGUAACGGCUUACCAAGGCAACGAUGCGUAGCCGACCUGAGAGGGUGAUCGGCCACACUGGAACUGAGACACGGUCCAGACUCCUACGGGAGGCAGCAGUAGGGAAUCUUCCGCAAUGGGCGAAAGCCUGACGGAGCAACACCGCGUGAGUGAUGAAGGUCUUCGGAUCGUAAAACUCUGUUAUUAGGGAAGAACAAAUGUGUAAGUAACUAUGCACGUCUUGACGGUACCUAAUCAGAAAGCCACGGCUAACUACGUG
rnacentral:rRNA from 1 species